ensembl:snRNA U6 U6 spliceosomal RNA
UUGCUUCAUCAGCACAUGUACUAAAAUUAGAAUGACACAAAGAUUAGCAUGGCCCCUGCACAAGAAUAUCACACAAAUUCAUGAAGGGUUUCAUAUUUUU